CUUUGGUUAGCUCAGUCGGUAGAGCACUCCACUGGAAAUAGAGAGGUCCCGGGUUCGGUAACCGGACCAGGCG
rnacentral:tRNA from 1 species